UAGGGAAUCUUGCGCAAUGGGCGAAAGCCUGACGCAGCCAUGCCGCGUGAAUGAUGAAGGUCUUAGGAUUGUAAAAUUCUUUCACCGGGGACGAUAAUGACGGUACCCGGAGAAGAAGCUCCGGCUAACUUCGUGCCAGCAGCCGCGGUAAUACGAAGGGGGCUAGCGUUGCUCGGAAUUACUGGGCGUAAAGGGCGCGUAGGCGGACAGUUUAGUCAGAGGUGAAAGCCCAGGGCUCAACCUUGGAAUAGCCUUUGAUACUGGCUGUCUUGAGUACGGGAGAGGUGUGUGGAACUCCGAGUGUAGAGGUGAAAUUCGUAGAUAUUCGGAAGAACACCAGUGGCGAAGGCGACACACUGGCCCGUUACUGACGCUGAGGCGCGAAAGCGUGGGGAGCAAACAGG
rnacentral:rRNA from 1 species